UGGACUUGGGACCAGACGUCCGAGGGUGUCCGAGGGCCUCUAAGCCCCAGGACUCGCCCCCGCCGAAUGCGAGACCCCGAGCGGCCCGGCCCCGAGCGGAGGGUCAGCGCCGGGUCAGACCCCGGGCCCGAGGACCUUCCGGGCGGAGGGCGUUUCAAGCAGCACAGGGUCCACCCACCACUGAGCAGAUGGGGCCCUGGUGUCCCACGACCUCUGCUGAGACCGGCAGCCCGCGCAGGGGUGGGACUGGGCUCCGGAGCCGCACCCUCCGCUUCGGUUCUUGAUUUCAUCGUGUUUGCUGAGGGGACUUGUUAGAGAUGCAAACCCCGGGCUCUGAGACCUCUGAAUCAGAAACUCUGUCUCAACAAGUCCCUCCGGCGAUGCUGAUGCUGAUGCGGGGCCAAGUGUAAGAAUCGCUGCUCCGAGGGCGUGGAUUUUCCAGAACACUGAACUCCUCCAACGCCGUCCCGUGACUGUCGCUCUCCGUCCCAGGCCAGCGGGACGGGCAGCCGCAGCAACGGGCUUCGGCCCUGGGCCCCGGGCAUCCAGGGGGAGUGGCCCGGCUGGAGGGAGUGGGCAGGGGGCGCCUUCUCCAAAAGGGACAUCUGUUUAAUACUACCCUUUAAGACAAGGUGGAGAGUGAUAGGGCGACACUGAAAAGAGGUUGGGCAGGCGGCUGAAACUGGGCGGUGAGGUGGGUGGAGACAGCAGGCGGAGGGUGGAGCCUGCUUCGAGCGAUAAAGUCCCACCCCCAGGCCUCCCCUUUGGGUGCACUCCGUGUCAUCAGAGUUCCAGAGCAGCGUCCUCAGGAACAGUGCUCCCUCGACAAAUUGACCGCGGAGAAAACUCCUGGAAGCAGUUUACCCAAACAGAUCGAUACGUAAUUUCCAAUGAGCAAUUUUCAAUUAGAUCCUCAGUUUGCCGUCUGAUCGCUCGCCUGGAACCAGCGGAGGCCUUCGCUCGGUCAGCGGCCGCGCACAGCUGACUCUACAGCCGACGGCAACCUGGGCGCUCGGUUCCAUCGCUGCGGCCAAACAGAGGCCUCGGGGCCGUCGAUCCUGACUGGAGCGAUUUUACCCACCAGGGGAAUCUGACAACGUCUGGAGACAUAUUUGGUUGGCACAACUGAGGGAUCUACUGGCAUCUAGUGGGGAGAGGCCAGGGAUGCUGCUAGACAUCCUACAAUGCACAGGCCAGACAGCCCAUAACAAAGAGUGCCCUGGCCCCAAUGUCCACAGGGCUGAGGCCACUGUGGGGGCUCCUCUGCCCGGCAGCCACGGUCACCUCCCCGACUGUCUCUCUGCCUCCAGCCUCACUCUGAAGGGCAUCUUUGCUCAGGACACACCUGUGCGCACACACACGCCCAUUCCCAGCACCCACCACCCGCAGUCCAGACUGCCAGGCUCUGCAAACCUGGGCCCCGUGCCCAUCCACUUCUGUUUCUCCACCUCACUCCAGUCCCUGACCUGCAGUCCCCAUUCCAGGGGACUCUCAAACUUGACUCUGCGUCAGAAUCUCCUGCACUUGUCAAAACACAGGUCACUGGGCUCACUCCCCAGAGUUCUGGACUGUGUGGGUCCACACCUGGCUGCAGAAUCUGCCUUUCUUCUGGAGGAUGCUGCUGCUGCUGCUGGUCUGGGGACCGUACCUUGAGAACCACUGUCCUACACCAACUUCCCUUCACCUCCCAUCCUGUCCCGAGGCUGUCGCUUCUUCCCAGGAUGCCCUUGUCCUCUGUCCCAUACACACCUGCGUUCCACCCUCGAGGUCCAGCUCGAUGCCACCAAGUUGUCUCUGACGCCCGAGUGGAAGUGAUGUCUCAGCCGCUGCCCUCAGCACUGGGCCCCUCUCCACGGCCACUGAUUUUCUUCUUUCACUGGACAGGCACUGGAUACAUACCUACCAGACAGGAGCAGCUGAACAAAGUUUAAUCAAAGGGACCAUUGACAAAGAUGUGGCAGGAAGAAGGGAAACUAACAACGUGGGCGAAGCGCCUCAGAGCCAGCAGCCGCUGGAAGCCACGACUCCUCCUGGGAGCAAGGUGGGAAGUGGCUCCUGGAAUCUGGAGAGGGUCGCCUGACAGGAGCUGUGGCCUGGGGAAGAGGAGCACAGACCCCGCCAGAGGGUGGGCUGGCAGGGCGGGGGCUGGGAGAAUAGACACCCUGGCCUCUCUCCCCUGCGCCCAGUGAUGUCCUGCGCAUGCCUCCCACUCCUGGACCCACCAGGAGAACAGAGGGCGGGUGGAGAAGGGCGGACAGAGGAGCUGGGGGGCAGACAGCCUCCAGCUCACGGCUUCUCUCCCUACUGCGAAAUCCCAGAGUGCAGAAUCCAUGUCGGACCACACCGGGAUCCACGGCAAGCCCAGGCCUUGGAAAAGAGGGUAGAUUAUUAAUCAAUGUUUGCUGAGUGAGUGUCGGCUGGUGAGCAUGUCUGGUGAUUAAUUUUCAGACUUUUUAUUGGAGCUGAACCACUCGAAGAAGCUUCUCAGAACAUUCCAAGAGCGUUCCUGGCUCCACAGGAAGACCUGCGGCCAAGCUCCCGCGACACAGCUGGGAACCAGCUCGUCGCCUUUCCCGCAGCAUCCACCACGCCCACUUACAUGUCACCUUGACUUUCGAAGCAAAGACUAGAGAGGAGGGACAGGUUUCCAGCAGUCGAAGAAAACACGGAGAAACAGGAUCAACGGCAGUGACACUGAUCUCUCGUGAGUGAAACCCAUAAAUGUGAACCAGUACAGAUGAUGAUUCCGAACCCGGGACACGGAGGGCAUUACCCAAGUUCGAGGCACAGAACAGAAACACCAGCUGCCCCGAGGGCUGAGGAUCCGACCUCUACUCAGACAUCUCGUCCCGACACCAGGAAGAAGGAAGAGAGGUGAUCUGUCACCCUGGUGAGUCCUCCCACACCGGCACAGCUGCAGCCAGGACGAUGGUGAGGGAGCCCCAGCACUCGGGGGCUGAAGCCCUUUCUCGACCAAAUGCAGCCUUUGUGAUACAGCGCAGUCUAACAGCACUUUUUACAGCACAUCUGGCAGUUGGAACAAUGUUACUUACAAAUGCUAUAAAUCCAUGUGCUAGCUUUUCCCAUGUUAUCAAAGAUUCCAGAUAAAUCACUAUGAACAUCACUCCUCUAAAUUAAUCCAGCUAUCAGUGUCUGCUAAACUUAGACAGUGAGUCAUCUGUCCACACUUUCCCAAAGUCUGGGUCAACUACACUUGACCAGGGCCUUAAAGAUUAAAGAUAAAAUGCCUACAACUAGUAUUAACAAUGACCUAGUUUAUUGAAAAAACCCAUUAAAAGCAUGUCAAAAACAAAGUCUGGUCUGAUAAUUUUACGUGUUUUGAAAAGAAUCCGUCUUUUAAGUGGCUAUAAAAAUUACUAGCACAACAUCAAAAAUUACAAAAUCUAGUUUUGACUGAAUUGCAUUUGUUCCUUACGUGGGGAUCUCCCCAAAUGAGGCCAAUGAGGCAGCUUCAGAAAAAUCUUCACAGUAAGGGCAGUAAUCUCAAGCACAUUAGUUACUAUCCCUUCAGUAAGGCUAAGAGGAAGCAGCCAAGAAAACUACAAAUUUACCUUUUUUUUUUAAAAAAAGAAAAAGGUUUAGAUCAUCAUUUUAACAUUUAUCUAAAUGUGAGUGAUGCAAUUUACGAGUGUAAAAACACAAAGUUUAAAGGCCAACAACCGAACAUUCAUUGUUUUGCUGAACAAAUAAACCACUAGACGAAUGAGCUAUAAGAGCAGCUUGGUUUUACUAAUGAAAAGGCAGCGGGUCUCAAGCACAUGGUCUCUCCAACACGGUGUUAACCGCUGUCAUUCACUGAUUCAACACGAAACAUGUGCAAGUGGAGGCUGUAAUCCCAGCGUGAUACUGUGGUGACAGGCACAGGCGCGGCCACUCAGUGCAGGGGCCGCAGCCCCAUGUCGGGUCUGCACAUGGAGCCCCCAGCACUGAACAGGCCGCCGGCACCACGGCCCACAUCUGACCACCGGGGGUUACACACAGGGGAGCAGUGUGUCG